AACUCCAGGCCCUUUCCUCAUGUCCCCUCCCUGCUGCCUACGACUCUAUUCCAGUGGGUUCUUUUGUGUGGAGUCAUCUCCUGCAGCUGCUGGAGACGCGCGACCCCCUGAAACGGGCCCUCCGGGAUACCCUCCCUGAGGACAUUCUCAGCCAGGAGUUCCACCCGGAAAUGUGGAAACACUCGUCCUAUUCUGAUGUCACCUUCCGAUCAGGCUGUUUGGCAGGAAGUCAUUCUGGGGCCAGGAAGACAGGAGAGAGGCCAAGCCAGAGAAGCCCCCAGGGCCAGAACGAGGGCCUGUACCACAGCGAGCCAGCCCCGAGUGUCCAGGAGACAGAGACAGAAGGAUGAGAGACCUACAGCAGAAGGUAAGGGAGGUGGCCACACCCACCCUACUCCCCCAGGCAGGCCCACCUCGCUUCAUGCUUGGGCUUUUGAACCUGAGACUUGGGUGUCUGUAAACUCUGACCCUGUCCCCUCCUUACAGAACCGAGUGGCUGGUUCAAACCUGAGUAGUCAACUGGCUUUAUUUGGAAAACUGUUGCUUGAAAUAGAUCCUAUGCAUGGGAACGUCCCUAAGUUGUAAGUGUACAGCUUGCCUGUCCACCACCUCAACACAUCCACGUCACCAGCACCCAGACCGUCUUCAGCUCCCAGCCUCCCCUUUGUCAUCCUGUUCUUGUUAAUACCCAUACUUAACCAGGGGUAACUACUCUUCUGACUUCUGGCAGCAUCAAUUCGUUCUACUUUUUUAAAAUGAGCUUUGCUGAGAUCUAAUUGACACACGGU
rnacentral:lncRNA from 1 species